rnacentral:rRNA from 1 species
UACGUAGGUGACCAGCGUUGUCCGGAUUUACUGGGUGUAAAGAGCGCGCAGGCGGUCGUUCCAAGUCGAGUGUGAAAGCCCCCGGCUCAACUGGGGAGGGUCAUUCGAUACUGAUCGACUCGAAGGCAGGAGAGGGAAGUGGAAUUUCCGGUGUAGCGGUGAAAUGCGUAGAUAUCUGGAGGAAUGCCGGUGGCGAAGGCAGGUCUCUGGGCUGACACUGACGCUCAUGCACGAAAGCCGUGGGGAGCAAAC